AACGAACGCUGGCGGCAUGCCUAACACAUGCAAGUCGAACGAGACCUUCGGGUCUAGUGGCGCACGGGUGCGUAACGCGUGGGAACCUGCCCUUAGGUUCGGAAUAACUCCCCGAAAGGGGUGCUAAUACCGGAUAAUGUCUUCGGACCAAAGAUUUAUCGCCUUUGGAUGGACCCGCGUUGGAUUAGCUAGUUGGUAGGGUAAAAGCCUACUAAGGCGACAAUCCAUAGCUGGGUUGAGAGGAUGAUUAGCCACUCUGGGACUGAGACACGGCCCAGACUCCUACGGGAGGCAGCAGUGGGGAAUAUUGGACAAUGGGCGAAAGCCUGAUCCAGCAAUGCCGCGUGAAUGAUGAAGGCCUUAGAGUUGUAAAGCUCUUUUACCCGGGAUGAUAAUGACAGUACCGGAAGAAUAAGCUCCGGCUAACUCCGUG
rnacentral:rRNA from 1 species